CCGGCAUCGCCUUUCCGCAGGAGCGGCUGGAGCAUCCCCGCGCUGCCGCCGAGGCGAGGGGCAGCUCCGCCGGGCAGCCCCGGCUGGUGCAGCCCCCGGGGCGGCGAUGGCAGCACGGGCACCCCGCACGCCGGACGAGGAUGAGGACGAUGCCCAAACCGGAUCCUCCUAGCGUGGGAAAGGCGCGGGCAGCCGGCGUCGGCCGCGGGGAUU
rnacentral:lncRNA from 1 species